rnacentral:lncRNA from 1 species
GCCGCAGCAUAGCAACCGAACAUGGCGGCUGCGCAGGCGCCGCCAGUCAGUGGCCAGGAGCGGCGGCGGCAGCAACAGGAGGCGAUCUCGCGAGAGGCGAGGCCAAAACCCUGCCUCGCUAGCGCAGGGAGAAGUCGCACCAGUCGGAGCGCAGAGGGACACGCAGACAUUUCAGCAGAGGCCUCAAAGGCAGAACAAAAUAGUGCAAGGAGCCGCACAUCCGCACAGUGCUGAGACCCUGCCCAGGACAAGCUUGACAAAAAAGAAGAAAAUUGGGUCUUGUUAUGUUGCCCAGGCUGGUCUCCAACUCCUGGCCUCAAGUGAUCCUCCCAGCUUGUCCUUCCAAAGUGUUGGGAUUAUAGGUGUGAGCCACUGUGCCUGGCCAUGUCUGAAUGUUGAAUGUUGACAGCUUCAGUGAAUUGACCCCUCUUUCACCUAUGGGACUUAUGAAGAGAGAAUCUUUCUGGCAUUGCAUAAUCCUUCCCAAGAGUACUUUAGCUGUGGUAACCCUUCUUGUUAUAAAACAUGCCAGGCCGCAGUAUUCCCUUUGGCACCCCCACCCACCUGGAACAAAGCCUGAUGUAAAGUCUGGGUGCGACUCAGACCGGCCUGGGAAAGAAUUUAUUUAAUAAAUGGUGGAAAGUGGCUUCCUUGACGUGUCUUCGAUGGCUUUUUUAUAAAGCAUUUGGUUUGUCUACUCGUCUGUUUUUGCGCCAUCUCUUUCCACAAAGAUGGCUUAUAGCAGGGAUACUUACAACAAAAUGAUGCUGGGAAAACAAAAACAAAGAAGUAGAGAAUUAGGCCUGAGAAAACUAGGAGUAGAGAGUCACGAUUAGAUACAGAGGAGCAUAGAUGUGUAGUCUAGGAAGGCCAACUAAUUGUUAUAGCUGAAAUUCAAAUUCAGUUAGCUAAAAUGUUCCUAGUGUCAAAGGAAGAAUGGGCCACACAGUUGCAUAAUCCUUAGUAUUAGGGAGAAGGAAAAGGUUCCAGUUAUUCAGAGGGAUGUUCUCUUGCCUUAUUCCUUUAAUAAGUAUCUGUUAAAGGCCCACCAUGUGCCAAGCACCAUGCCCGGCAAGCACUGCACUCACCCCCCAGGAACUCAGUGUCUAAAGGAGACUGGGUGAAAGAACUAUAUUUGUGUGCCUAUGAUGUGUCAAAUACUAUGCAUUUAGUUAUGCAGUUACUGUAUGUUAGACACUAUGCAUUUAAUUAUUUACCUGCUGUAUAUCAGACACCAUGCAUUUUCAUUUAACCCUCAUAAGCACUUACAUCAAGUAGACACUGUUACCUCUUUUUUACAG